rnacentral:lncRNA from 1 species
AUCUGGUGUUACAAGUUAACCAUCUUUUUAAAUAUGAUUAAAUAAAGCUUUCUUUCCUGGUGCCUAUUUCUCCCAAAGUCACAAUUUUUUUUUUAUUACAUGUAGUCAUUCUCUUAAAGUAGGAAAAAAAUGUCCUGUUGAGAUGUGGAUUACAUAUAUCAAAAUUCAGGGAUGAGGAUAAUAAUAUUGAGUAAUACUUGCUUCUUCUUCGUGUUAGGUGUCAUUGUGUUUUACAUAUAUUUUUACUUAUUUACUCCUCAAAAUUACCCAUUGAGGUGGAUAUCCUCUCCAUUUUCCAAAUUGACAAACUGAGAAACAUAGAUUUUUAAAAAAAUAUUUUAUAUAUUCAUGAGAGACACAGAAAGAGAGAGAAGAGAGUCAGGUAGAGACACAGGCAGAGGGAGAAGCAGGCCCCUGGCAGCCCAAUGUAGGACUCAGUCCCGAAUCCCGAGAUCACGCCCUGAGAUGAAGGCAGAUGCCCAACCGCCGAACCACCCAGGUGUCCUAGGAGAAACAUAGAUUGAACUAAACUUUGCACAAAAUCAGCAAGUUAGAGGGAGCAGGCUUCAAGCCUGUAUAUUCUUCAUUUAGAGUUUGUGCUUUUAACUGUGUUUAACUGUCUCUUGGAUGGGAAUUAAUUUCAAUUUUUUCACUUUAAACAAUUUGGAAGGAAAACAGUAAAAAAAUAUCUAACAAAGACAUCAGGGGAUUUUGAUAAUUGCUGAAUCCUUUGGGACCCCCUAUUAAUAGUAGGCCAAAAUUCAGUUGUAGAUUAUCAUUUAAAAGAGGUACAACAAUGGCUUAUUGUAGAUUUUUAGCAUUUGCUAUUUUAAACAUGCAACUUUUUUUUGAUUACUUGAAUCAUAGGUUCCUGACAUGUACUUAUUGGUCAUUUGGUUGAAGCAAGAAUUUGAAUCCCAUGGGCUUUGAUAUGGUAUGGAGGAAGGAGUCAAUUACAUAGCAAAUAUUUACUGGGUUGGUUGCUGGGCAUUUCAUUCUUCUUUUGGUAAAGAAAUCUGGGCUUCAGGGGAACCAGUCCUACUUCACUUGCAGCCCCUGUACAUUGGAUGAAGAAGCUCAACAUCUCUUUGUUCCAGGGUUGGAACAUGUAAUCUGAGGUUAUUCCAAUCAGUCAUUUCUAUUCCCCUUGUUACAGUUAUUGUUUCAGAGAUGGGCACUGUAAUACCUAUCAGGGUCUUUUGAGCUAAACAUUUAAACUCACUUGCUUAUGUCACCCCUAACUACUAGACUACUCAGAAGGUUAUAGGAAAGGAAGCACAGCUUGCCUGUGGCAGUAGACAUUCUUUCUCUGCAAGAGUACUUGCAGCAGUCUAGAAUAGCAGUAUGGCUCAGGUGCAAGAAAACAAGAUUUACACUGUACAAGUGAUGAAGUAAUGCCCUAUACAAGCCAGUAUCUUUGGAAUGAAUGCAUAAGCUUAGCUUCCAGGGUCUCUGCAAAGGAAGUACCAGUUAUAAGAGUCACUAAACUCAGGGAAGCCCAAAGCAUGGCAAUCUCAUCAGCUAUUUUGUUGAUUUAGAGUUCCUCUAAGUAAUCAAGGAUCACUUUUAUUGUAGAAACGCCUAACAAAAUAGUCGACCCUUGACUGUCAUCAAUUGGCUAGGAGAGCUAGAUAUCUGACCAAUUGUCAGAAUCUCAUGUGGUGAGGGAAAUUAUUUUAUUAACCCUUUAUCCAAAGGCACUAAAUUCUGGGACUUUAAAAACAAAUGGUACCAAGGAAGUAGGCUCUAUCUUGCCUCUAGACUUUAACUUGAAAGGAUGUAUCACAGGACACUUUGUAGCCAUGUUUCUGCUAUAAGAGAAGAGGCCUCUGAGGAUGGAUCUAUGCCAAAAGAAACAAAAUUUGGCAAAAGGGAAAGAGUAACUUGGUCCUGGUGGUUUUAAUGAACCAUAACUCAAAGCUAUUUUGUCAGGGCCUUUUCAGUCAUUUAAGUCGAUAUCUUCACUUUGGGCCUAAGCCACUGUGUGUUGGAUAGACAGAAUUGAGCCCUGACAGAUCAGUAUAAAGUUGAGUAUUUGAUAAAUGAUAAGUGAAUAAAUCUGCAUUUCUAUUUCUGUUCAUUUCUUUUUGCUUAGCAAAAUGAGGAUAGACUUUUUUUUUAAAUGACAACCAUAGAGAAUUGAUGCUUAAUGAAUGGCAAAUAUGAUGUUUUAUCUAAUCCUAUACUCAAAUUUAGUAGUAAGUAAAAAGAACUAUAAAACCUUAUAUCAAUGGUGGCAUUAGAAAUAGGUAUGUUUGAUUAUACUUAUUCACUUAAUGCUUUAUUCAACAACUAAUUACUGAAUAUUGUGUGCAGAAGACAAAAAGCCUUUGACUUUGAGUGUAGAGAUGGUCAGGUUAAACUAAUUUGACAGAAUACUUCAGUGAGAAGAGAGAGACUUAGUGCUUAGUCUCUGUAGGAGACUAAGUUGGAUUAUCAAUCGGCUGGGCCACCCAGAUGUGCCCCUAUAGUACCAAUUUUACUUUUGUCUUCCUUUCUCUUUUGAAUUUCACUUGGUGGGAAUAUUUAUUUUCCUGCAACUCUUAAGGAAGUCAGGAAGGUGCUCAACUUUUCUGGUUAUUCAUAUCUAACAUGAAUAGUACUGGUUCAGAAAUUAAUUACCUAAUUCUAUACAGUUGUCAAAAGUGCACACUUGACUUACAGUCAGAAAUGCCCCUGAGCUCAAACUUUCUAUUUGUUGGAGGCAUGUAGUUAUUAAGGGACUGUCUGGACAGCUUCUUUUCUUUUUUUAUGUCUUUGUGUUUUACUGUUCCCUCUCUGCCUAUUAACCAUGAUUUUGGAUUCCUCUGGGAUUGGAGUGGAAUGGAGGGUGAAUGAUGAUGUAAGAAAGAAGGGCAGUAACAUUUUCCCUUCACUGGUACUACAAAAACUGCCCUCAUGCUCUCUGAACUUGGUGUGUAUUUAAGUAUGAUGAUCUCUGCUGUGGGACUUAAAGUUCUUUAGAGACUCUCCAUUUUGUGGAGACCUCUUAUCUAGGGUAACCUUGACAAGGGAAGGUGCAUCUUGUCUCUGAACCACUUCUUCAGCUCCUGAGAAUUCAACCCUUCACAUCUAGCUGCAUUUCUGCUGAGGACCCUUUAUCUUUUUGGUCUACUCUCUUAGACAAGACCUAAAAUGUCCCCACUCUAGUGCUCUCUUAGCUCCCAGAAAAUGCCACAGAAUAGUUUGUCCUAAUGGCAUUUUAGGUAGGAUAAAUCACUAAUUUGCUACCUUACCUUUGCUCUGCCAUCAAAAGUUUUCGGCCUUAGAUUUCUCAAGUGUGAGUCUGACAUCAAGUCCAUUUCUCUUCCAUUCUGAAAAAGCAGUUAUUAGGUUUUCUGAGUAGUCCUUUUGAAGCUUUUUCACCAGAUAUAAGGCAAGGAAAGACAUAACUUCCCUAGAUUUUUUUUUUUAAGGAUGAUUAGGGUUCACAGCAUUCAACGUUUUUUACUACUUUUUUUGAUAGAUAGAGCUAUCUUCACCCUUGGCCUUUUAUACCCUGAAUGGGCAAGGAGUUUAAGAGUUAUCUAGCUGGUUUUCUGAUAGCUUUUUUUAAAAAAUCAAUUUUAAUGAUAUACAAUUUAGAUGAUAAAAUGCACUUAUUUUAAGUGUACAGUUCAGUGAAUUUUGACACAUAGACUCACUUAUGACCUCCAUCAUAAUCAAUAUAUAGAAUACUUCUGUCACCCCCAAAAGUCCCCUCAUGCCCCGGUGACGUUAAUUCACACCUUCCUAACCCUGAACUUGACAACAAGUGAUCCACCUUUUCAUACUAGAAUUCUGCCUUUUCUGCAAUUUCCUAUAAUUAGAAUCAUACAGUAUAUACUCUUCUUUUUUUUUUUUUAACUAGACACAUUUUUGAGAUUCAGCCACAUUAGUUUAUUUUCCCCCUCCUGUGUAGUAUUAUAUUGUACAGUUUUACCAGUUGGUUGAUCCAUUCCUGUUUAUGGCCUUCUGGGUUGUUUCCAGUUUGGGCUAUUACAAAGUUGCUAAUGGCACAGUCUGAGGGAGAGCUGCUUUUCUCUAUGGAGUGUGUUCUAGUUUAUUCUAAGUUUUUGUUUAAAAUUUUGCAAUUUUUACAUUGUCUCAGAAGAUAAAUUAUAACUUAAUAAGCCAUUUAAAUGAUUAAUAUUGUGUUCAUGUGCUAUCAUGCUUUAUAUCUUCUUGCAGUCUAAACAGUUAUAUAUUUGUUACCCUUAUGAUAUUAGGCCAUUGACAGUGAAAGGGACUUUUAUUACCUUAUGAGCAUGCCCCGGGAUGUGUACCUUUUAUUGUUGUGUGCAGGUUUUGAUGUAGUCCUUCACAUGCCCACACAACUGCUUGAUAAAGAUGAACCACCAACACGUGAAUGCAUUCCACAUCCUCCUCUUGGGUAUCUCCAAUCUAUUCUUAUGUUUGCCUGUUCUUAUUAAUCCUCCUGUGAUUUGAGAGUUGUCAUUGAUAUUGGUUAUCACAGACUUAGCUUCUUAGUUCUCCUGAAAGGAUUUGGCUUAGAGCUGUCCUACAUAUAGCCAUUUAGGGUUGUUACCAUCCCCUGGUCCAGUCCAGACUCUAAGUCUCUCUUGGUCCCCAAAGAAGUGGGUGUUCAGAUGUAGGCACUUGAAAUCAUAACAGAAAAAACUAAAGGAAAUGGACACUUAGCAUAAUGAUAAGAUUAAAUAUACAUAAUAUUUGCUGUCUUUGAAUACUUAAAAUUCAAACCUGAUGAGAAAGAAAAGGCUGACCUCCCCUACCCCUUUAGGGGGAGUUCUCAAGUGUAGUGUUAAGUUCACUGGGUAGGAGAUUUGGGAAUCAAAUUUUGCUUUGGUAGUCAGAAUCAGCUGAAAAUUGGAUGGGCUGUGAUUAAAAAGUCAUGAGCUAUGCCACUGCAGAUGUUUUGAGGUUAACUGCUUAGUGAGGAUUAUUAGAGUGCCUGGGUUGAAUAAGCUUAAAUUUCAUUUCAUUCCUGAGAUUUUUAAGAACCUAUGAAACUUUUUUUUUUUUUUUUAAUGAGUGUCUUAUGGGAAACUGCUCAAACCUAUUAUUGGCUAUUGUCUUUAAUUCCUCAACUCCUAGGAAAGGAACACUGGCAGAAUUUAGAGAACCAAAGACGUAAAGACUUAGAGUAUGUGAUGGGAAUGUUAUAAAACAGAAAAUACACAAACCAAAGAUUAAAAGUGGCUAUGACUACAUGAUCUCUUACCUUAGAGUGAUGAGGUGGGCAGGUCAAAAAAGCAACCAACCAAACACACAAACUUUAGAAGAAUAUGUUGCCAUGAUUUCUCACCUUAAAUCUGUAGAACAGUAGGUAUGUGAAGUACUACUAUUGCAACCUGCUGGUUUUCACCAAAAGACAUCAGAUUGGCAUCUCUUUCUUCUAAUUUGUGUUUUAUUUUGGUAAACUAGGGCAUCUUUUUCAUUAAAACGCAGAGUUGAAAUUUCUGUUAUUAGCUCCUCUAUAAAAUUUUGAUCGCAACAAUGAAAAGUUUCAUGUGUUUACCUAAAGACCUCCAGGCUAAUCAGAUUCUGGGGGAAAUACUGUACUAACAUUGACUUGGUAAUCAAGAUACAGUUACUGAGUUGCUUAAGUAGAUGAAAAACAGUUUUUUCCCUAUGAUAUUCCCAGAUCGAUUUUUUUGAAGCUUCAUUAACUGAUUUGCAUUGUUAUAGUUACUUGACACAGAGUUGAUAUACAAAGGCUUAUAUAACAACAGAAUACAGUUCAGCAGUAUAGUUUGAAAAAAAAUCACUUUUCAGGAAAUACAUGUUAUACUUUAUUUGUCUUAAAAAAAAAAACAUGUAUUUUCCUGAUUACAGUGACAUCUAUUUUCUUUCUUUUUUUUUUUUUUUUAAGUGACAUCUAUUUUCUAGUUAGCAAGCCAAUUAUGCUUUCUGUUCUAAGUGCGGCUUUAUGGGUAUUUCUUUUUCUUGUUUUAAAGGAUAACAUCUUUCUAAUCAGCUGAGUUGGGAAUUUCAUAGUUUGUAUGCGCCUCAGCACAAUUUUGUAUUCAUAACUAAUUAAUAAAAUUAGUGGUUGGGCUUUCUAAUUCUGAUAUUUUACAUGAGGGUGAGUUUCAUUAGCAGAAUAUCUGCAAGCAUGGUAUGUAAAGAACUCUGCCAAAUGAUGCUUUAGAGAAUCAAGUAUUAGGUAACAGAUCAACCUUUGGACGAGAGCAUCAUAUUAUGAUGCUUCCUGGAGUUCAUCAGUAGUGCAAAGACACACUGGGUGGCAAGCACAUUGGGAUGGUGAGAUAGUUUCAGUAGAGGAAAGGUAGACAUUCCUUCUGUUGAGCAACACGGAUAGGCUGGACUAUAGGAUGAAAGCUGUUUCUGGGGUUUCACCCAAGGUGAUAUCAGAUAAACAGUUGUAGCGGUGGCAUCAUAAUGUGUUCAUGGUAAACCAUAAGAAAACAUUCAUUUCAGAUGAUUAUAAUAAAAUUUGGCUGAUUUACAUGUCAGUUUGAAAAAAUAUAUUAAAGAGUAAAAGCUGGACAUAAACAAGGAUAUAAGUUUCUGUUAGCUGAAAGUUAUUGUUGUUUUGCUAACCCUACUUAUUUUUCCUCAAAGCCCCCCAUACUAAUUAAAUAAUAAACUCCACUAAACAGAUGGAAGUCUGCCCUAUGCUGUUAGGAUUUCAUGUGGGCAGGAGAUCUGUCUCAUUUGUCUUUCCAGUUCCUUGGGAGGGAGGCAUGGUAGAAGAAGCUUGCAUUCAGAGGCUAUAAAACGAAUCCCAGUUGAUGACUGGAGGGCUACUGCUGUGGUGGAUGUAGAUGAGAAUACAGAAGAAAGCUCAAGUCCUUAGUGGAGGUGGAGCUCAGAUUGCUGUGCCUUGCUCACCUAAUUCUGGAAUAGAGCUGAAUGUAGCCAAGUGUAGCUUUCUUAAAUUCCUAGAUGAUACUUCUAUCCAGUAGGAAAAUCAUGUAAUGAAUCUUUGUUUUAGAGAUAAAGAAAUGGAUCUGGCUCAUACUAAGCUUGUUUUGGGGGUGUCUGUGUGUGUAUGUGUAUAUAUAUGUGUAGAGUGGAUGCAUACAAAAAAA